GACGAACGCUGGCGGCGUGCCUAAUACAUGCAAGUAGAACGCACAGUUUAUACCGUAGCUUGCUACACCAUAGACUGUGAGUUGCGAACGGGUGAGUAACGCGUAGGUAACCUGCCUGGUAGCGGGGGAUAACUAUUGGAAACGAUAGCUAAUACCGCAUCAUAUUAAUUAUUGCAUGAUAAUUAAUUGAAAGGUGCAAUUGCACCACUACCAGAUGGACCUGCGUUGUAUUAGCUAGUAGGUGAGGUAACGGCUCACCUAGGCGACGAUACAUAGCCGACCUGAGAGGGUGAUCGGCCACACUGGGACUGAGACACGGCCCAGACUCCUACGGGAGGCAGCAGUAGGGAAUCUUCGGCAAUGGACGAAAGUCUGACCGAGCAACGCCGCGUGAGUGAAGAAGGUUUUCGGAUCGUAAAGCUCUGUUGUAAGAGAAGAACGGGUGUGAGAGUGGAAAGUUCACACUGUGACGGUAUCUUACCAGAAAGGGACGGCUAACUACGUG
rnacentral:rRNA from 1 species